rnacentral:rRNA from 1 species
GACGAACGCUGGCGGCGUGCUUAACACAUGCAAGUCGAACGGAAAGGCCCUGCUUUUGUGGGGUGCUCGAGUGGCGAACGGGUGAGUAACACGUGAGUAACCUGCCCUUGACUUUGGGAUAACUUCAGGAAACUGGGGCUAAUACCGGAUAGGAGCUCCUGCUGCAUGGUGGGGGUUGGAAAGUUUCGGCGGUUGGGGAUGGACUCGCGGCUUAUCAGCUUGUUGGUGGGGUAGUGGCUUACCAAGGCUUUGACGGGUAGCCGGCCUGAGAGGGUGACCGGCCACAUUGGGACUGAGAUACGGCCCAGACUCCUACGGGGGGCAGCAGUGGGGAAUAUUGCACAAUGGGCGGAAGCCUGAUGCAGCAACGCCGCGUGCGGGAUGACGGCCUUCGGGUUGUAAACCGCUUUCGCCUGUGACGAAGCGUGAGUGACGGUAAUGGGUAAAGAAGCACCGGCUAACUACGUGCCAGCAGCCGCGGUGAUACGUAGGGUGCGAGCGUUGUCCGGAUUUAUUGGGCGUAAAGGGCUCGUAGGUGGUUGAUCGCGUCGGAAGUGUAAUCUUGGGGCUUAACCCUGAGCGUGCUUUCGAUACGGGUUGACUUGAGGAAGGUAGGGGAGAAUGGAAUUCCUGGUGGAGCGGUGGAAUGCGCAGAUAUCAGGAGGAACACCAGUGGCGAAGGCGGUUCUCUGGGCCUUUCCUGACGCUGAGGAGCGAAAGCGUGGGGAGCGAACAGGCUUAGAUACCCUGGUAGUCCACGCUGUAAACGGUGGGUACUAGGUGUGGGGUCCAUUCCACGGGUUCCGUGCCGUAGCUAACGCUUUAAGUACCCCGCCUGGGGAGUACGGCCGCAAGGCUAAAACUCAAAGGAAUUGACGGGGCCCCGCACAAGCGGCGGAGCAUGCGGAUUAAUUCGAUGCAACGCGUAGAACCUUACCUGGGUUUGACAUGGAUCGGGAGCGCUCAGAGAUGGGUGUGCCUCUUUUGGGGUCGGUUCACAGGUGGUGCAUGGCUGUCGUCAGCUCGUGUCGUGAGAUGUUGGGUUAAGUCCCGCAACGAGCGCAACCCUUGUUCACUGUUGCCAGCACGUUAUGGUGGGGACUCAGUGGAGACCGCCGGGGUCAACUCGGAGGAAGGUGGGGAUGGCGUCAAGUCAUCAUGCCCCUUAUGUCCAGGGCUUCACGCAUGCUACAAUGGCUGGUACAGAGAGUGACGAGCCUGUGAGGGUGAGCGAAUCUCGGAAAGCCGGUCUCAGUUCGGAUUGGGGUCUGCAACUCGACCUCAUGAAGUCGGAGUCGCUAGUAAUCGCAGAUCAGCAACGCUGCGGUGAAUACGUUCCCGGGGCU